GACGUCGAUAUUCGACGUCAUAAACACGAACAACUUUGGUAUUUAUGACGUCGAUAUUCGACGUCAUAAACACGAUCAACUUUGGUGUUUAUGACGUCGAUAUUCGACGUCAUAAACACGAUCAACUUUGGUGUUUAUGACGUCGAUAUUCGACGUCAUAAACACGAUCAACUUUGGUGUUUAUGACGUCGAUAUUCGACGUCAUAAACACGCUCAACUUUGGUGUUUAUGACGUCGAUAUUCGGCGUC
rnacentral:miRNA from 1 species